rnacentral:rRNA from 1 species
CUGGCUCAGGAUGAACGCUGGCGGUCUGCUUAACACAUGCAAGUCGAACGCAACCUUCGGGUUGAGUGGCGGACGGGUGAGUAACGCGUGAGAAUCUGCCUUGGGGUCGGGGACAACCACUGGAAACGGUGGCUAAUACCGGAUAAGCCUUUGGGUAAAAAAUUUAUUGCCCCAAGAGGAGCUCGCGUCUGAUUAGCUAGUUGGUGAGGUAAAAGCUCACCAAGGCAGCGAUCAGUAGCUGGUCUGAGAGGACGAUCAGCCACACUGGGACUGAGACACGGCCCAGACUCCUACGGGAGGCAGCAGUGGGGAAUUUUCCGCAAUGGGCGAAAGCCUGACGGAGCAAGACCGCGUGAGGGAGGAAGGCUCUUGGGUUGUAAACCUCUUUUCUCAGGGAAGAAGCUCUGACGGUACCUGAGGAAUCAGCCUCGGCUAACUCCGUGCCAGCAGCCGCGGUAAUACGGAGGAGGCAAGCGUUAUCCGGAAUUAUUGGGCGUAAAGCGUCCGCAGGUGGCGAUUCAAGUCUGCUGUCAAAGCACGGGGCUUAACUCCGUUAAGGCAGUGGAAACUGAAUAGCUAGAGUGCCGUAGGGGUAGAGGGAAUUCCCGGCGUAGCGGUGAAAUGCGUAGAGAUCGGGAAGAACAUCGGUGGCGAAAGCGCUCUACUGGACGGCAACUGACACUCAGGGACGAAAGCUAGGGGAGCGAAUGGGAUUAGAUACCCCAGUAGUCCUAGCUGUAAACGAUGGAUACUAGGUGUAGCUUGUAUCGACCCGAGCUGUGCCGAAGCUAACGCGUUAAGUAUCCCGCCUGGGGAGUACGCACGCAAGUGUGAAACUCAAAGGAGUUGACGGGGGCCCGCACAAGCGGUGGAGUAUGUGGUUUAAUUCGAUGCA